UACAACAAUCCAUCAUUUUUUGGAUUAUUUUAUUUCUAAAAAAUAUAAAUCAAAACCUAUUGAAACACUUGAAGAAGAAAAGAAUGAAACGAAGCCGAAAAUACCCCGUAUCCUGAAUUGGGGUGUGAUGCUAAUUAUAACUGCAGUCAUGGUGUUUGAUAGAUAUUUUACAGAAGCUGUGAUGCCAUUAAUUGAAGAAGAAUACGGCAUUGAUAUAAAGAAGACUGCACUUGUAGAUGGACUAUUUGCUCUUGGCUUCACCAUUCUGGCUAUAAGUCCUGUCUUUAGAUAUUUUGGAGAUUGGUUAAGCCAGAAGACUAUAAUGUGUAUAGGGAUGACAGUUUGGACCCUGCUCACUUUUACCUUCUGUUUUGUACCCAAGCAGUGGUUCUGGCUCAUCCUACUCCUGCGAGGAUUACUGGACAUAAUAGCAGAUAUUUUCUUAAGCUGUGCUUUACCACUGAUUGGACACAUGUUCUCAGUGUCCAAUCGAAGACUCGCCAUAUUUAGAUUUCAGCUGUGUAGCUUUCUUUUCAGUGUAUAUUGUUUUCUUCUGCUUGUGCUCAUUCUUUUAUAUUAACCCUGAAUUCUUUCCAUUCUCCCCUUCAGGCUAAUAGCGAUCUGCAUAGCAGCAUUAGUGGCCAACCAAUUCUCCUGGCACGUGGCACGACUGGUAAGUGAUAUAUUCAGCUGAGCGCCAUAAAGCUUAGAGUAAGAUAUCUGUUAGCAUUUAGUUCAUUGGAUAGAUAUAACUCGUCUGGCAUCUAUAAAAUACUGUAUCGUAUAUCACAGCACAUAAAUAUAACUUUCAGAAAAAAAAGCAACUAACUGAAAACAAUCUUCAACGUGGGCAUUAUAGUGACCAACUGGCUAGAUUAUUUUUUUUUGGUUUAGGCCUUUGAAAUGCAGCAGGAACAAUAGUCCCCUUUAGACUGUUUCUGGUAAUAUAAGUGGUCCAGAUUUAGAGGGAGCAGAGUAUCUGCUCAGCCAUUGGCCAGUUCUUGUACUUUUACAUUCAGCCAGUGUUAAUCAUGCAGUCGCUAACUGUCAAUUGUCUUUACUAUUUUUAUAUUGAUAUUGCAAAGUAAUGUCUUUUCAUUUUUUUGAUGAAUGAGAAAUAAAACUUAUUCAUGUGCCACUAAUGUCACCUUUCCUCUUUCAGGUGGAGCUUUGCCCUUAUUAUGAUAGGUUCCCUUAGUGUGGACUUUAUUCACGAGGGCAUGUUUGCAAUUAUUCCUGAUUUCUUGGACAGAACGAGGAAUGAGACGGGGAAACAAUGGCCCCUUCUCUUGUCUCAGAGUUACUACAGUGACUUGUAAGUUUUAUUUUCAUACUCUCUUUGGCUUUAUCAAAACUUCUGUAUAUUAUUAAUUAUAAUACUACUAAAUAUGUGUUAAUAAAUCUUCAACAUAUUUGUAACUUAUAUUUAUAUUAUAUUAUGCUAUUAGUAACCUAGCACUGGUUUUCCUGGCAGUAGAACAUACACAAGGAAUCUAGAUAUAAUAUUGUGCAACACAGACGUCUGCAGAUUGUACUCAACACCCUUGUCUUUCUUUCCCCUAGUAUGAUCUACUCAGCAAUCAAAUGUGCAGCGGAUGUACUCGGCAUGCUGUUAGGGAUGGAAAUCAGCAAGCUAUUGAGCAAAGAGCCUCACAGUGCAGAUCCAUGGGUCUGCGCCGUAGGACUCUUUGCCUUUACACCCGUCUUCAAUUUAUCUGUUCUGCUAAUGAUAAUGUAAUGCCAUCACUGGCAGUCAUCUAUCAGGCUCCUUUGGUCCCUCAGUGACUAAGCAAUGCAAUUCCUGUAAUAUCUGCCUUUGUGCUGUUCCUUGUGAAGCAAUCCCAACCCUCACGGACUCUUUUCUCUCCCCACAGUCUGUAAUACGGCCAAAAUUCUACACAAUCGCUGGACAGCUACAGGCCUUCCUGACGCGGUUGAUUGCAGGUGUAGGUGCUCCAUUUAUUAUUGAAUAUAUAUCUGUUAAGAUCCAGGAGUCGAAUUCUGAGAAGACUUCCUUUGAAUGCAUGCAAUUUGCCCUAAUGUUUUUACCAGUAGUGGCAGUGAUUGGAGGAACCUGCUUCCUAUAAUUAAAUUUGAGCUUCAAAAAGGAUCGGGAAUCAGUGGACAAGAACGCUACCCCAAGACAAUCUGAUGUGGAGAAAAGCUUGUUAAAGAUACAAGGGGGUAUAGGGAGAUACAGGGGAC